GUGCGUGUGCAUGAGUGUGAGAGAGAAAGGGUGUGUGUGAGAGUAUGUGUGUGUGGAUGUGUGUGUGUAGGUGUGGGUGUGUGUGUCUAUUGUGUGUGGUGUGUGUGUGUGAGUGGGUAUAUGAAUGUGGUGUGUGUGUGUGUGUACAUGAUUGUAUGUAUUUGUGUGUGUGUGCAUGUGUGCGAGUGUGUAUGCGCACGUGUGUGUGUGUGUGUGUAUGCGUGUGUGUGCACGUGCAUGUUUCUGUGUGUGUGUGUGUCUACUCCAGUUGGCAGAGGGACACUGAGGCGUCAUACAC